UGAUGCUGGCUUGUUUGUGUAGUGGGUUGAGAAAAAAAGGUUAAAAAAAAUCAAUAACUAAAUAGAAAAUACACCCCCUAUUUUUCUAUCGGAGUUGGUCUUGUCUUUUGUCUUUGUUUUUUUCCUGUGUGUGUAGACGUGUUUGUUGUGUGCGUGUGUCUUCUUGCCAGUGGGGGCGCUCUCGCGCCGCUGUGGGUCUAGCGAGGAGAACGAGUUUCCUGGCUCUGGGCAUGCGCGGCUCAGAAUAAACGAGCUCUGCCAGAGUAACAUUGUUUCAACUCGCUUCCUCUGUGAUCCACAGGUAAGAUAGAAGGCCACUCUCAUAAGCCAUGUAAAAUGAUCUGUACAUAUAUAAAGAUUAAUUUCGGAGUCUAUUGUAUAACUUACAUGUAUAAUUGCAAAGUUUUGUAUUGCCGUUGAUCUGUGUCGGCGUGUAGCUUGCUUUUUGUUGUUGGAGCCUUGGGGAUUUUUAAAUUUAUUUAUAUCACUUGAUCGGUCAGUAUUGUUUGGGUAGCAUUAUAAUAUUUUUGUUUCUUAUAACAGUGUAUUUAUUUGUGGUGGGCUUGAUCUCUUUUGUGGCCGCUGUAACAGUUACAACUGACAAACGUUAAAAAAACAGUUGUAACUGACAAACGUUGGUGUGUCAGUUUACUGUGUGUUGUAGAUGGAAUGUUUUGUUCAGUUGGGUUAUGUUAAUUUAGGAUUAGAUUUUCUUAAUUUCUUUUGCUAUUAUGUUAUUUUAUUUGAGGAUUUUAUUUUAUUUUAUUUUAUUUUAUUUUAUUUUAUUUUAUUUCUUUGUGGAAACUCCGGAUGUUGUUGACUGCAUUUGAAUUGUAUUGUGGUUGUGUUUGUUUAAUUGAAAAUGCGCGGCUCAGAAUAAACGAGCUCUGCCAGAGUAACAUUGUUUCAACUCGCUUCCUCUGUGAUCCACAGAAAUUGGUUGCAAAGGAUUCCUGUGCCUUUGCACCGCUUGAUACUGGCUCAGAUUCCCCUAGGUCUGGUGCCAGUAACAUUUGCAACCGGCUUCUAAGGCAGGAUGGCUAAGGAGAGUAUCAAUCGGUCAUGUGGUCCACAAGCCUUACCGGUUGGUGGCGGUAAUGCUCACCUAACGUUUUUUCCCAACCGCCAAAAAAUUUCAAGAAGAAGAAUGAACCGGCUUCUCAAUUGAAUUCUACUCUGAGAACUUUUGUGGUAAGUUUGGCGAUAUUGCUUUUAUCUUAACUGUGUUUAAUGAAAAAUAACUGCAUUGUUUUGUGCCUAUUGUAACCCAGGUUAUUUUGGGGCAACCCAGACAUUUUAAUAAUUGAGGUGCUGUGCUAAUAUUUGUGCUGCAGUCAGAUGGUUUACACCAGUGGUCCCUAACCCCCGGGCCGUGGACCGGUACCGGUCCGUGGACCAAUUGGUACCGGGCCGCGUAAGAAACAAUUAAAUAUUUCCGUUUUACAUAUUAUGUGAGUCUGGAGGAGCUUUUAUUUUGAAAAUCCUUUUACCGGACUCUCUCGGUUACAUCUUGCGCGCCAGCAUUGAGCCCACAAGCAGCAAAAUGAGUAAGAAACAUAUCAGAUGUCUUUGGAAAGUUUCUUUGCGAGCCGAAAAGGCCCAGAGAAGAGACAGGAGAAUGGAUUUAUCCCGGACCGGUAGGUGAUUCCCACAUUCCAAGCCCGCUCUGCAUGAUAUGGUGACCGGCUCGUUAAUGAGGGAAUGAAACCUUCAAACUGCUUCGCCACGUAGAGACCAAGCACCCUGUGCAUAAGCAACACUUCGGGUGUCAUUGUCUCUCAUCGCUCCCAGAUGAAACCAUCUCGUUGCAGAGAAAUAAGCUCAGGGCUCCCAUUAGUCGCUAUCGUAAGUUAAAAUUUUCGCGAAAGUAAAAUAUUCGUUUUUGUGGCGCAUCUGUAUCUUAUUUCGAAGGGAUAUGUAAACGUACCAUAGCGACCCGAGUCAGAGAGCGUUAGGGCAGUGGUCGAGAGUAGAGGAGUAGAGCUUGUGAGUUUUAGGUCUGGUUCACACGGCACGAUUUAAGGAUUGUCGGCCGAUUUUGUGACCACACACGACACGAGCCGAUAAAAAUCCAACAGGUUCAGUCGGUUCGUGUGUCCAGCCACACGGCAGGAGCAACACACCACACGAACCGAUUCCACUCGCGAACAUCCCGACUCCAGAGGAAAAUCCAGUAAAACCCCCAACAAUACCAUACGUGAAUUUAGAAUAAUCAAACACAGAUUACGAUGUAAAAGCAGCAGUGAUAGUUUGUGGACUCAUUUUAAACGAUAAAAGACGUGACAAAUAGAAAAGUCGUUUGAUAAAAGAUGGCGGGAGCAGCCGCUCUAUUUGCUGCACUAUGAUUUGAAGGUGAGUUAUGUUUUAACAUUUUUAACUGAAUAAACAUAGCCACAAAUAAUAAACAUAUAUAAAAUGACCUUUACAUAUAGUAAUAAACAUUUCCACAUAUCACCUCUGAUGUCGACCGGACUCUCAGUUUCCAUGUGAACUGUUUGGGAUUCCCUCCAUUCUUACGUCAUCGCGCUUUCUGAUUGGCUACCUGUCACAUUCAACAGGCUGCGUUCUCGCUCCCAGUCAGGCUGCUAAAUCGGGCCAAGACAAUGUUGAAUAUGCCUGAUUUUAGUUCGGGCAUAAUCAACACACCACUCACUGCAGGACGUUGUAAGAUUGUCGUAAAGGGAAAAUCGGGGAAAAAAAAAAAAAAAAAGGCUUUAGCUGGAACGCCAACAUGCAGAAGCAUUAUCUGACGGUCCCUGGGCGCAGCAAAAUUGCCAAGUCUUGACAGGUCCGCGGUAGGGGUUGAACCAAUUAGUCGACUAGUCGACUCUAGGACGUCUCGCGAGUUUUUACAUUUCAUGUCGACUAGUCGCAGUCAUGUGAUUGCCGGUGGUGACAGCCUGUGCUGAUCUGACAGCACAGUAUACGUCACAAGACACAAGAAAAAUAAGUUAAUACAUUAGUUUAAAUGAUAUGUAGAUGGAUGCAUAUUUGUGGUUUUACAGUGUUUUUAAAAGGAGAUGGAGUUGCAGCUGCAGUCCACUACAAAACACGAGCCGUCUAAAACUCGCCCCCUUCCCGCUAAGGAUGUCACUUAGCCGGCUCGCGAGUGUCUUUGUCACGACGAUCUAACUAAUACAUUAUGAUGUUAUGUUGCUGAUUAAAUAAAGAUCUGUGGUAAUGACAGCUGCUGAUUAAAUAAAAGCCUGUAGUUGGUAA